UCAAUCUUCCCAGUACCCCUCCAUGCAAGGCAUCCUCUCCUCCCCCAGCCUCUGCGGGUGCAGGCCUGUGACCUGAGAGUGCAGAAACGCGUCUCCACCUAGGGAGGUGGGGCGUGUUUCUGAGGUGGAUAGGCCUCUUGUCUACACUCAGGACAGCUGCUCUCUGGAGACCCCGACCCGGUCACAGCAUCUGCCUGCAAGGGAGCUGCACCCUCCCUCCUCCAGCCCUGGUACCAAUCCCUACAGCCUAAAUUCUGUCCUUUCUCCAUCUCUAGGCUGUGGACCUCACUGUGUUCUACACUGCCGAUGAGGAAAUUGAGAAUUAGAAGGGUUAAUUGCUUUCCCAAUGUCUACCAGCUAGUGAGUGACUUGAAUUCAAGAGCUCUCAUUCAUCCAUUUCAAAAAUAUUUCUCAAGCCUUGCUUCUGCACGCCACACUGUUCCGGACCGUCGGGUUGCAGUCAUGCAGAAGAAGCAAUGAUAGAACAUACAUAGUCAGUUCUGUGGUGUGUUAGAUAAGCGAUUGGAAGAAGGCUUGGGGAAGCAGCAGAUGGAGAGCAAUGGGCACUUCAGAUUGCAUUCCAGAGGUGGAGACCGAGGCUCAGGGAGUUGAAGUCUCCACCCUGAGGUACAUCAGCAAUACAUCACACUUGAACCCAGCUCUGCGUGACUCAGGAGCUGCCACCCCACUCUGGAGGCCUCUCAGUGAAGUGGGCAGGUCUGGCCCUACUCUAGCCCACUCAGAAGACCGACCCAACCCCCAUUCCAUGUCUCUUGGGUCCCCAACAGUUUGGAAAAUCCUGAUGAAAGCAGAUGGUGGGGACAGAUGGAGGGGAACGCAUCUCAGGGCUGAGUUACACAAACAAACAUUGAUAAAGUGAUUAAAACCUCAA